UUAAGCGACCAAGCGUACACGGUGGAUGCCCUGGCAGUCAGAGGCGAUGAAGGACGUGCUAAUCUGCGAAAAGCGCCGGUAAGGUGAUAUGAACCGUUAUAACCGGCGAUGUCCGAAUGGGGAAACCCAGUGUGACUCGUCACACUAUCAUUAACUGAAUCCAUAGGUUAAUGAGGCGAACCGGGGGAACUGAAACAUCUAAGUACCCCGAGGAAAAGAAAUCAACCGAGAUUCCCCCAGUAGCGGCGAGCGAACGGGGAGGAGCCCAGAGCCUGAAUCAGCAUGUGUGUUAGUGGAAGCGUCUGGAAAGGCGCGCGAUACAGGGUGACAGCCCCGUACACAAAAGCGCAUGUGCUGUGAGCUCGAUGAGUAGGGCGGGACACGUGGUAUCCUGUCUGAAUAUGGGGGGACCAUCCUCCAAGGCUAAAUACUCCUGACUGACCGAUAGUGAACCAGUACCGUGAGGGAAAGGCGAAAAGAACCCCGGCGAGGGGAGUGAAACAGAACCUGAAACCGUGUACGUACAAGCAGUGGGAGCAUGAGUUUACUCAUGUGACUGCGUACCUUUUGUAUAAUGGGUCAGCGACUUAUAUUCUGUAGCAAGGUUAACCGUAUAGGGGAGCCGCAGGGAAACCGAGUCUUAACCGGGCGUUAAGUUGCAGGGUAUAGACCCGAAACCCGGUGAUCUAGCCAUGGGCAGGUUGAAGGUUGGGUAACACUAACUGGAGGACCGAACCGACUAAUGUUGAAAAAUUAGCGGAUGACCUGUGGCUGGGGGUGAAAGGCCAAUCAAACCGGGAGAUAGCUGGUUCUCCCCGAAAGCUAUUUAGGUAGCGCCUCGUGAAUUCAUCUCCGGGGGUAGAGCACUGUUUCGGCCAGGGGGCCAUCCCGGCUUACCAACCCGAUGCAAACUGCGAAUACCGGAGAAUGUUAUCACGGGAGACACACGGCGGGUGCUAACGUCCGUCGUGAAGAGGGAAACAACCCAGACCGCCAGCUAAGGUCCCAAAGUCAUGGUUAAGUGGGAAACGAUGUGGGAAGGCCCAGACAGCCAGGAUGUUGGCUUAGAAGCAGCCAUCAUUUAAAGAAAGCGUAAUAGCUCACUGGUCGAGUCGGCCUGCGCGGAAGAUGUAACGGGGCUAAACCAUGCACCGAAGCUGCGGCAGCGACACUGUGUGUUGUUGGGUAGGGGAGCGUUCUGUAAGCCUGCGAAGGUGGCCUGUGAGGGUUGCUGGAGGUAUCAGAAGUGCGAAUGCUGACAUAAGUAACGAUAAUGCGGGUGAAAAACCCGCACGCCGGAAGACCAAGGGUUCCUGUCCAACGUUAAUCGGGGCAGGGUGAGUCGACCCCUAAGGCGAGGCCGAAAGGCGUAGUCGAUGGGAAACAGGUUAAUAUUCCUGUACCUGGUGUUACUGCGAAGGGGGGACGGAGAAGGCUAUGUUGGCCGGGCGACGGUUGUCCCGGUUUAAGCGUGUAGGCUGGUUUUCCAGGCAAAUCCGGAAAAUCAAGGCUGAGGCGUGACGACGAGGCACUACGGUGCUGAAGCAACAAAUGCCCUGCUUCCAGGAAAAGCCUCUAAGCCUCAGGUAACAUCAGAUCGUACCCCAAACCGACACAGGUGGUCAGGUAGAGAAUACCAAGGCGCUUGAGAGAACCCGGGUGAAGGAACUAGGCAAAAUGGUGCCGUAACUUCGGGAGAAGGCACGCUGACACGUAGGUGAAGUGAUUUACUCAUGGAGCUGAAGUCAGUCGAAGAUACCAGCUGGCUGCAACUGUUUAUUAAAAACACAGCACUGUGCAAACACGAAAGUGGACGUAUACGGUGUGACGCCUGCCCGGUGCCGGAAGGUUAAUUGAUGGGGUCAGCGCAAGCGAAGCUCCUGAUCGAAGCCCCGGUAAACGGCGGCCGUAACUAUAACGGUCCUAAGGUAGCGAAAUUCCUUGUCGGGUAAGUUCCGACCUGCACGAAUGGCGUAAUGAUGGCCAGGCUGUCUCCACCCGGGACUCAGUGAAAUUGAACUCGCUGUGAAGAUGCAGUGUACCCGCGGCAAGACGGAAAGACCCCGUGAACCUUUACUAUAGCUUGACACUGAACACUGGUCCUUGAUGUGCAGGAUAGGUGGGAGGCUUUGAAGUGUGGACGCCAGUCUGCAUGGAGCCAUCCUUGAAAUACCACCCUUUAAUGGCUGGUGUUCUAACGUAGACCCGUGAACCGGGUUGCGGACAGUGUCUGGUGGGUAGUUUGACUGGGGCGGUCUCCUCCUAAAGCGUAACGGAGGAGCACGAAGGUUGGCUAAUCCUGGUCGGACAUCAGGAGGUUAGUGCAAUGGCAUAAGCCAGCUUGACUGCGAGCGUGACGGCGCGAGCAGGUGCGAAAGCAGGUCAUAGUGAUCCGGUGGUUCUGAAUGGAAGGGCCAUCGCUCAACGGAUAAAAGGUACUCCGGGGAUAACAGGCUGAUACCGCCCAAGAGUUCAUAUCGACGGCGGUGUUUGGCACCUCGAUGUCGGCUCAUCACAUCCUGGGGCUGAAGUAGGUCCCAAGGGUAUGGCUGUUCGCCAUUUAAAGUGGUACGCGAGCUGGGUUUAGAACGUCGUGAGACAGUUCGGUCCCUAUCUGCCGUGGGCGCUGGAGAACUGAGGGGGGCUGCUCCUAGUACGAGAGGACCGGAGUGGACGCAUCACUGGUGUUCGGGUUGUCAUGCCAAUGGCACUGCCCGGUAGCUAAAUGCGGAAGAGAUAAGUGCUGAAAGCAUCUAAGCACGAAACUUGCCCCGAGAUGAGUUCUCCCUGAGACUACAAGUCUCCUGAAGGAACGUUGAAGACGACGACGUUGAUAGGCCGGGUGUGUAAGCGCAGCGAUGCGUUGAGCUAACCGGUACUAAUGAACCGUGAGGCUUAACCUU
rnacentral:rRNA from 1 species